GCUCUGGCCGCUUCCCUUGUCCGUGGCCGGGGGGGCCUACACCGCGUUGUGAUUGGAGGAGGCCGACGCCACGGAUUGGCUAGGAGCGCAGAUUGACAGAGCUGCAGGCCCAUGGGGCCUCGAAUGGAUAGGCAAUUCUAUCUUGGAUGGAAGAUAUGUCUUGAUUUCUACCUUCAAGUUUAUUCUGCUGCCCAUUACCACAGUAUUGGUGAGGUGCCCCUGCCAGAUCAGAGAUGAAGUCCCUUCUGAAAGAGAACUGCAUUUUGCUUAUUGGCUUCUGUUCUACCCAGAAGAGUGCACAAAGCACCAACAGACUCUCUCUGUGCCUGAAGAAGGGUGUUUGGGCCUGAAAGCUUGCAAAGCACAAUUUUUCCAACUAUUUAGUUGGUCUAAUAAAAGAGAUCACAUCUA